rnacentral:rRNA from 1 species
UUCGUAGGCGGUGCGGCAAGUUGGGAGUGAAAUCUCUGGGCUUAACUCAGGGGCUGCUUUCAAAACUGCCGUGCUCGAGUGCGGGAGAGGCCAGUGGAAUUGCAGGUGUAGCGGUGAAAUGCGUAGAUAUCUGCAGGAACACCCGUGGCGAAGGCGGCUGGCUGGACCGCAACUGACGCUGAGGAACGAAAGCUAGGGGAGCAAACAGGAUUAGAUACCCUGGUAGUCCUAGCCCUAAACCAUCAGGACUUGGGGUGGCCCGCGUAGGCGGGUCGUCUCGUAGCUAACGCGUUAAGUCCUGCGCCUGGGGAGUACGGUCGCAAGACUGAA